ensembl:lncRNA
CACACACACACACACACAUAGUUUGGGAGGACGGGAGGAAGGCCGGGGGGCAAAGUCACCCUUCAUUUUUAUUCUGCUUUGGUUUCGUUCGCUUAGUUUUCAACACAGAUCUGUGUUUGAGGUCACUAGCCAGAGAUCUGUUGGUUAAUCUCACCUUCGAGCUGCCAUUCGGGGCCAUGCACCACUCACUUGUCCAGGUCAGUGUUUGCACAGCUGUGAAAGUCAACAAGUACAUGUUCUACCUGCUUCCACCUUCUCUGAAGAGUGAUUUAAAUAUAUAUGACUUGAUCUGAUCUGAUCUGAUGUGCUAUUUUAUAUUUUGAGUCUGAUUAUUAUUUGUGAAUUUUAAGCAUUGUUGUGCACGGGAUUCCGUUACCUCUUCGUUGGUGUAAACUGUUGGCAUUAUUUUCUUUUUUUUAAUAUUUAAUUUAUGAAUUACAAUAGAAUGAUCGUACAUUUUAUUUUGUACAAAGAUGGAGCUACUUGAAUGUUUUAUCUUUUUUUUUUUUUCUUCAACAUUUUUCUUCAAUGUGAACGUUGUGACAUCAUAUUCUCAAGUGGCUGAAUGUCAUGACUGAAAAAGUCAUGUUCACCCCACCUCUUCCUAACAACCAAGUCAUGUGGUCCAGAGAGGCCUUAGCCUAGUCGUGGAGUUACUGACCAAGAAUACUAGAAUAUCAAGUGAAACGCUCCAACAUGUCACCGUGAUCUACAACACAAAAGCCACUUCACUGAAGUCUAUCUAUCUGAAGUCGAAAGGAAAAGAAAGUAAAUAUCACCGGUCAUUGUGGGUUAACACGAUCACACUUGCCUGCAGAAGAAACCUCCACGCUGGUUUCAUGACCAGCUUUGCGUUGCGCUCACCCACCACUGUUUGGUCACCCUCCUAAGAAAUCUGUGAUUCUUUUAGGAAAACUCUCCGUUUACAUUUUUGUUUUCACCUCACAGUUCCAUCAUGAGAAGGAACUGUAUUGUGCCAUAAGUUAUUCAUACUUCUAAAGCGAAACACUGAAGCAGACUCUGACCUGAUCAGAAAACCAAAAAAAAAAAAAAGACCCUCUUCUGGACCUGAAGUUUCAAAUACUUUCCAUUUACUUUGCCAGUGUUAUCAUUCAAUGUUAUUUUGGAUUAAUAUACAAGCAUGCCAGAUUGUACAACUGUAAAAUCUGAACAGGUUUUUAGAAUGACAA